CGCCUUACUACUACAAAUCUCCGCCUCCGCCUCCUCCCUACAAGUAUGAAUCGCCGCCUCCGCCUCCCUACAAGUACGAGUCGCCGCCUCCACCACCGUACUACUACAAAUCACCUCCGCCGCCCCCAUACAAGUAUGAAUCGCCGCCGCCACCACCAUACAAGUAUGAAUCGCCGCCGCCACCACCAUACAAGUAUGAAUCGCCUCCUCCACCACCAUAUAAGUACGAAUCGCCACCGCCACCACCAUACAAGUACGAGUCGCCUCCUCCACCUCCGUACAAGUAUGAAUCGCCUCCUCCCCCACCAUACUACUACAAAUCACCACCACCACCUCCUUACAAGUAUGAAUCUCCCCCUCCACCUCCAUAUUACUACAAAUCUCCACCCCCGCCACCACCUUACUACUACAAAUCACCACCACCACCUUCUCCUGUCUACAAAUAUAAAUCUCCACCACCACCACCUUACAAGUACGAAUCUCCUCCUCCACCUCCAUACUAUUACAAGUCUCCACCACCACCGCCGUAUUACUACAAGUCUCCACCACCACCACCUCCAGUUUACAAAUACAAAUCUCCUCCUCCGCCACCAUAUUACUACAAAUCACCACCUCCUCCAUCACCAGUAUAUUACUACAAAUCUCCUCCUCCACCAGCGUAUUACUACAAAUCUCCCCCACCGCCUGUCUACUAUUACAAAUCCCCGCCACCUCCAGCUUACCACUACCAAUCGCCACCCCCACCAAGUUACAAGCUGGUAGUGGUCACGGGCAAGGUCUAUUGCAACAGAUGCUGGAACACCACAAGCAGAUACCUUCAGGCAUCACCACAUGGGUCUGCUAGGUACAUUCUCAAUUGCAUUGUAUUCGAUAUUGUUCUCCUCACUCAUUUCCUCUUGAUACUGUGUGCAAUAAUGCAGGUGGCAAAGUGAAGAUCACAUGUGGCGAAUCUUACUACUACGGCUACACCAACAAGCAUGGAAUCUUUAGAAUUGAGCUCCCGCACCAAUCCUGGGAAGAAGCAAGCAGCUGCAAGGCCAAGAUUAUCAAGAGCAGCUACAUCAAGUCGUCAUGCAAUGUCAUCACGGACUACAGGUCUGGUGCAACAGGGGCCAAGCUCAAGUUCAAAUCGAAAACAGAGAAGGAGCUCGUCUUGACAGCCGGUCCUUUCAUCUAUGCAACUCCAGAGCCAUCGUCAGUCUGCUUCUACACAUCACCUCCCUAUGAGUACAAGUCACCUCCGCCACCAACACCGGUCUACCAUUACGCCUCUCCGCCACCUCCGGUCUACUACUACAAAUCGCCACCUCCUCCUUCACCGGUUUACUACUACAAAUCCCCUCCUCCUCCUUCGCCGGUCUACUAUUACAAAUCCCCGCCUCCACCACCAUACUAUUACAAGUCCCCACCUCCACCUCCGCCUAAGUAUUACUACAAGUCGCCCCCACCACCGUCUCCAUACUAUUACAAAUCCCCGCCCCCUCCACCGUACUAUUACAAAUCCCCACCACCACCUCCCUACAAAUACGAAUCGCCGCCGCCUCCUCCUUACAAAUACGAGUCCCCACCUCCACCACCUUACUAUUACAAGUCCCCACCACCACCUCCAUACAAAUAUGAAUCCCCGCCACCUCCAGUCUACAAAUAUGAGUCUCCGCCACCCCCAGUUUACAAAUACAAGUCGCCACCACCACCAUACAAGUACGAGUCACCACCACCACCUCCAUACAAGUAUGAAUCCCCGCCACCUCCACCUUAUUACUACAAGUCCCCUCCACCACCACCAUACAAGUACGAGUCGCCACCACCUCCUCCGUACAAGUAUGAAUCUCCACCACCACCAGUUUACAAAUACAAGUCACCUCCGCCGCCACCUUAUUACUACAAAUCCCCACCGCCACCUCCAUACAAGUACGAGUCUCCACCUCCUCCUCCGUACAAGUAUGAAUCUCCACCACCACCACCUUAUUACUACAAAUCCCCCCCGCCACCUCCAUACAAGUACGAGUCACCGCCUCCUCCUCCGUACAAGUAUGAAUCUCCACCACCGCCAGUUUACAAAUACAAGUCACCCCCGCCACCACCUUAUUACUACAAAUCCCCGCCACCACCUCCAUACAAGUACGAGUCUCCACCUCCUCCUCCGUACAAGUAUGAAUCUCCACCACCACCUCCUUAUUACUACAAAUCCCCGCCGCCACCUCCCUACAAGUAUGAAUCCCCGCCACCACCUCCCUACAAAUACGAGUCACCUCCACCACCACCUUACUAUUACAAAUCUCCUCCACCGCCUCCAUACAAGUAUGAGUCGCCACCACCACCAGUCUACAAAUACGAGUCUCCGCCACCCCCAGUUUACAAAUACAAGUCGCCCCCUCCACCUUAUUACUACAAGUCUCCGCCACCCCCGCCAUACAAAUAUGAAUCCCCACCUCCACCUCCCUACAAGUAUGAAUCGCCUCCUCCUCCACCUUACUACUACAAGUCCCCUCCACCACCUCCCUACAAAUAUGAAUCCCCGCCACCACCUCCCUAUAAAUACGAGUCACCACCACCACCACCUUACUAUUACAAAUCUCCUCCACCGCCUCCAUACAAGUAUGAGUCGCCACCACCACCUCCCUACAAAUACGAGUCACCACCACCACCACCUUACAAGUAUGAAUCCCCACCUCCACCUCCGUACAAGUAUGAAUCACCUCCACCGCCUCCAUACAAGUAUGAAUCCCCUCCUCCACCUCCCUACAAAUACGAGUCACCACCCCCACCACCUUAUUACUACAAAUCGCCUCCGCCACCGGAGUAUCAAUCACCUCCUUACGUGUAUAAAUCUCCAC
rnacentral:lncRNA from 1 species